CGAAGGGGCGUAGCGUUGCUCGGAAUUACUGGGCGUAAAGGGCGCGUAGGCGGCUUGAUAAGUCAGGCGUGAAAUUCCUGGGCUUAACCUGGGGGCUGCGCUUGAGACUGUUGAGCUGGAGGUCAGAAGAGGGUCGUGGAAUUCCCAGUGUAGAGGUGAAAUUCGUAGAUAUUGGGAAGAACACCGGUGGCGAAGGCGGCGACCUGGUCUGAUACUGACGCUGAGGCGCGACAGCGUGGGGAGCAAACAGGAUU
rnacentral:rRNA from 1 species